GUCAUCUCCUGUCAAAAGAGUUUCACAUCUGCAAGGGCAAUCUAAAGCACUUCACUGGCUGUUAACAUGAGGUGAGUCAAAAAAGGGUUGAUUUCAAAACUUUCUUUAUUUCAGCAGCCUCAUUUAAAAGGGGAGAAGCCUGUUGGUUGUUGCUGCCGCCACUGUUAAAGUUUAACAGUUAAACAAUUAGGAAUUGGAACACUUUGUGAUCUACUGUAAAUCACUGAGAGAUUUACCAGUAGAUCCCAGUAUCUACCUUCUGCCCACCAGUAUAAUUGGCUUCCAAAGUAUACAAUGAAAGCUAACAGUUUCCACACAUACAUGGCCUAAAUCAGAGUUUGGACAGAGUACUGAAGGUGGAAUUAUCAAAUGAGUUAAACAAGUUUAACCCCUCUGGAAUCAAUGGUCAAGAACAUUCAACAUUGAAUUGCACCCAAAGAAGUCAUGAUGGAGUCAGAUGCUUCUCUUUACUUCAUAUAUUUGUGAAUUCUGAUCAAUGACUUGAGUCUUCCCAAAUUUUACAUGCAUAAGUGGCUAUUUUAAGCCUCACCAAGACAGCAUAUCCCUGUUUACCAUAUGACAGAUUAAUACUUUUAUUUCUAUUAUGCAAAAUCAUUUCCCCAACCCCCCCAAUCCCUGGAAGUCUCUCUUCUUUCUUGUCUCUACGUGCCCAGCAUGCCCUAAUGACAAAGAGUGAUAAAUAAAACCAGAAGGCAGGGGACUGUUUGGCUCAGCGACUUGCCCACUUCUGGGAUGAGGGUUUUCAAAUCAUUGACUAAAAAAUAAUUCUGAUUAGAUGACUAUAAAAGGUGAAAAGUGUAAUAAGUUUAGCGUCCCUGCCUGGGAACAUCAGAGGCACACAACCUCUUGAAUAUUGAUCAGGUCUGAAAGAAAAGCCAAGGAGAAGAGAGAGCAGGAAAACCAACACUUCUUUGGACAGCGAUAACUGCGUAUCACACCCGGGCUUCGUCCACAGGGAACAAGGCAACACAAACCCAUUAAAAUCAAUGGUAAGGCUGACUACAAUGCAACAUGCAUUUCUCCCUUGAUUUACAACUUAAUGUCUCUCACAAAGACAAAAAUUCUUUCAAAGACAAAAUUCUUUUGCAUGAGGAACAUUGCAUUUUACUAUAAUACCAAAAGGCAACUUUUGCACUUACAACUAGGUGGCUAUUGUCAACACCAGAUCAUUAUUCCAGUGGGCGUUGAACUAAGUGUUCAUUCAUAGUGAUUCCUGGUCAAUUAGCACUUGAAACAAUAGUGUGUUACUGUAUGUUCCUUAAUUUAUAGACAAGUGGCUAUUUAAAAAGGGGUUGCACAACUUCAUUGAGAUCUGGCAGAGUGUCCUGGUUAAGAGACUAACUAAGAGCUUAUCCACACUUCCCUUCACUCUUUCCAGGCCUGGUCCGUGCUUUGAGCUUUAAAUCCACGGAAAACACAAAUUGACGUUUGCUCUGCUUGAGUGCUAAAGAGUGGGUUUUCACGGGGAAAGCUCAGGGGCAAAAAAACAAAACACACAAUUUUAAGCAUGUGCCUGGAAAGAGAACGGCAAAAGGUAAGUGUGGUUCUGCCAUGAACUCACUAGGUGACAUUUGAGAAGCUACUUUCUCUAGGCCUGAGCUUCCAAUCUGCAAUAAUUGGUGUGUGUGUUAAUAUUGACUUACCGUACAAGACCGGUUGUACAGAUUACAAGUAAGUAAUAUAUGUGAAGUGCUUUGAACACUUGAAAGUGUUAUUCAAAUGCUAUCACUGCUGUUGCUGUUGCUACUACUACUACCAGUGGCGUAGCAUGGGAAACUAGGGGGCAGUUGCCCAGGGUGGAAAAUUGUUAGGGGGUGUAGAAUUUCAACACCUGGUGCUGCCUCAAUACAGUUGUGCACUUCCAUCACUGGGCUCCAUCGAAAACAGCUUCUCCAUGUGAAUCAGGAAGUGACAUCUCCAGACAACGGAAGGACUCUUAUCGCUGUGGCUGCAAUGUCCUCAGUGAUGCGGAUGCCAUUAGGUAAUUGAAUGUGCAUAUGUACUCCAUCCAUUUCCCUCUUUCCCACCCACCCUUCCGCACAGCCCCAGGUGCCGGUAACCCACGCUAUGCCACUGACUACUACUGCUGUUGACAGCUACUCACAGAGGCAGCACAGAUGACAGUGGACGGCCCUUAUCUUAAUGCCUUCCCUGAACUCCCAGAAUGAUCAAGCUAACUACUCUUCAAAAUGCACUCUUGGGCUACAUGAACCUUAGAACAAUCUCAUCCAGCAAGGCAAUUCUCAUGCUGAAGAAGCAAGCACUUCUUUCUCAAAUCAGAUGUAUUUAUUUUUUAAUCACUAAAGCUUAUUGAGCCCUUCAUCAAACAAGAUGGCUUUUUUUUUGCUAUAAAUAAAAUCAACAUAGGCACACAGCAGCUUUUUUGGUAUCCCUGAUACCAAACAAAUGAACAGCUGAACCUUGGGUGUGCUGAGAGCUAUCACUUCUAUGUGAUGCAAACAUUCCUUAAAUUUUCCUCCAUACAAUAGAUGUGAGAUCUGUAUCCCAUAUAUAUAUGUGUGUGUGUGUGUGUGGGUGUGUGGGUGUGUGGGUGG